AGUUUGAUCCUGGCUCAGGACGAACGCUGGCGGCGCGCCUAACACAUGCAAGUCGAACGGAGCUUAGAGAGCUUGCUUUUUAAGCUUAGUGGCGAACGGGUGAGUAACGCGUGAGUAACCUGCCCUAGAGUGGGGGACAACAGUUGGAAACGACUGCUAAUACCGCAUAAGCCCACGGUACCGCAUGGUACUGAGGGAAAAGGAUUUAUUCGCUUUAGGAUGGACUCGCGUCCAAUUAGCUAGUUGGUGAGGUAACGGCCCACCAAGGCGACGAUUGGUAGCCGGACUGAGAGGUUGAACGGCCACAUUGGGACUGAGACACGGCCCAGACUCCUACGGGAGCAGCGGUGGGGGAUUUUCCACAAGGGGGGAAACCCUUGAUGCAGCGCCGCCGCGUGGAAGAAAAAAGUUUUUCGGGAUUGUAAACUCCUGUCUGUUAGGGACGAUAAUGACGGGUACCUAACAAGGAAAGCACCGGCUUAACUACGUGCCAGCAGCCGCGGUAAAACGUAGGGUGCAAGCGUUGUCCGGAAUUACUGGGUGUAAAGGGAGCGCAGGCGGGAAGACAAGUUGGAAGUGAAAACCAUGGGCUCAACCCAUGAAUUGCUUUCAAAACUGUUUUUCUUGAGUAGUGCAGAGGUAGAUGGAAUUCCCGGUGUAGCGGUGGAAUGCGUAGAUAUCGGGAGGAACACCAGUGGCGAAGGCGGUCUACUGGGCACCAACUGACGCUGAGGCUCGAAAGCAUGGGUAGCAAACAGGAUUAGAUACCCUGGUAGUCCAUGCCGUAAACGAUGAUUACUAGGUGUUGGGGGAUUGACCCCCUCAGUGCCGCAGUUAACACAAUAAGUAAUCCACCUGGGGAGUACGACCGCAAGGUUGAAACUCAAAGGAAUUGACGGGGGCCCGCACAAGCAGUGGAGUAUGUGGUUUAAUUCGAAGCAACGCGAAGAACCUUACCAGGUCUUGACAUCCGAUGCAUAGCACAGAGAUGUGUGAAAUCCUUCGGGACAUCGAGACAGGUGGUGCAUGGUUGUCGUCAGCUCGUGUCGUGAGAUGUUGGGUUAAGUCCCGCAACGAGCGCAACCCUUAUUGCCAGUUACUACGUUAAGAGGACUCUGGCGAGACUGCCGUUGACAAAACGGAGGAAGGUGGGGAUGACGUCAAAUCAUCAUGCCCUUUAUGACCUGGGCUACACACGUACUACAAUGGCGUUAAACAAAGAGAAGCAAGACCGCGAGGUGGAGCAAAACUCAAAAACAACGUCUCAGUUCAGAUUGCAGGCUGCAACUCGCCUGCAUGAAGUCGGAAUUGCUAGUAAUCGCGGAUCAGCAUGCCGCGGUGAAUACGUUCCCGGGCCUUGCACACACCGCCCGUC
rnacentral:rRNA from 1 species